rnacentral:lncRNA from 1 species
UAUUGUUUUUACAAAUAAGCACAGUGGUUAGUAAAGUCUUUUUAUGUCAAGUAAUGUGUUGAAAAUAACUAGCAUCGAAUUCUAAAUGGAAUUGUUAGCCGGAUUCUAAAACGUUAUAUGUUCCAAGUGAUUUAGGUUUCUACAAUAAAAUGGGAAAUAGUCUAUUUAGCAGCUCAGUUAAAAAAAAAGUGUCUAAAAAUGAAUUGGCUUAUGAUGAAUUCAUUUCAAAAUGUUGUGGUGAAAUAAGCUAUAAUAUUGGAAGUGAUUGGUUGCGAUGGGGAAGACACCUCGGUCUAAGUGAUUCAGAUCUUGAUAAUAUUGGCUCUGAUAACAAAAAUUGUUAUGAGAAAGCUGAUAAUGUUUUAA